AGCUACAAGUAUCUCAGAUAUUGAGAGUUCUUAUGAAUUUUCGAUUGGCGCGUAUCUUUACACGCCAAUCCUACAAAAAAAAUCCAGCACAAGAAAGUUUUCUGAACGUAACGAUUCGUUUGGAAACAGUGGCACGAGCCUGGAAGGAUUGGUGGAUCAUUUGAUACUAGAUAGACGAACCUGUCGUCUUCUUGUCAGCACAGAGCUUUGCACCAUGGCGCUAUUUUGCAGUCACUUUGCGUGAAAUCGUUGCAUUGAUUAACUGGAACAUAACUGCGCGCAAGAAUUCACGACUAGCAUCCCAAUUCAUCAGCAACUAGAGGAGGAAUA
rnacentral:misc_RNA from 1 species